GUAACUGCCUAACUCUGGUAUUCCUUAUCAUGAUCCGAUACCCGUGCUCCAAACAGUUCAAAAUUAACAUUGAGGUGUUCGGUAAGAAAUACGUUGUUCACUGGUCCCUAGGGGCCCAUGGCUUGAUGUACCUUCUAUGUUUGUUGGGGCGGUGGGGUAGCCUAGUAGCCUAAUGGUUAAAGCGUCUGCUCGUC